CUGGCUGUGUGUGUGAGUGUGUGUGUGUGUGGUAUGUGUGUGUGUGUGUGUGUGUGUGUGUGGUAUGUGAGUGUGUGUGUGCAUUGUGCUUCUGGCUGUGUGUGUGAGUGUGGGUGUGUGUGGUAUGUGUGUGUGUGUGUGUGUGUGUGUGUGUGGUAUGUGUGUGUGUAUGUGAGUGUGUGUGUGUGUGGUAUGUGGGUGUGUGUGCGCGCGUUCAGGCAUUAUGAUUCUGGUUUUGUUUGUGUGUGUGUGUGUGCGCGCGUUCAGGCAUUAUGAUUCUGGUUGUGUGUGUGUGUGUGUGUGUGUAG
rnacentral:lncRNA from 1 species